UACGCUGGCGGCAGGCCUAACAUAUGCAAGUCGAGCGUGCCUUCGAGGUGAGCGGCGGACGGGUUAGUACGGAACGUGCCCUUCUCUACGGAAUAGCCUCUGGAAACGGAGAGUAAUACCGUAUACGCCCUUUGGAGGGAAAGAUUUAUCGGAGAAGGAUCGGCCCGCUGUUAGAUUAGGUAGUUGGUGGGGUAACGGCCUACCAAGACCUACGCAUCUAUAGACUGGUUUUAGAGGAUGAUCAGCAACACUGGGACUGAGACACGGACCAGACUCCUACGGGAGGCAGCAGUGGGGAAUCUUAAACAAAUGGGGGGCAACCUGAUCUAGCCAUGCCGCGUGAGUGAUGAAGGCCUUAAGGUCGACAAGCUCUUACGCUGUGAUGACAAUGACCGCAGCCGGUCAACAACCCCGGACU
rnacentral:rRNA from 1 species